rnacentral:ncRNA from 1 species
CCUCCCGUGAGGAUGCCCUAUGUUCCCCUAAGUCGGGAACAAGGAGCCGGUAUCAGGCACACCCCUACAGCCCACGACACCUUGCUUAGCCACACCCCUAAGGGAACUCAGCAGUGGUAAACAUUAAGCCAUGAGUGAAAACUUGACUUAGCUAUGGCUAAAAGGGCCGGUAAACCUCGUGCCAGCCACCGCGGUUAUACGAGGGGCCCAAGUUGAUAGCCGUCGGCGUAAAGGGUGGUUAAGGUAGAACUAACACUAAAGCCGAAUGUACACAAAGCUGUUAUACGCACUCGAAAAUAAGAAGCUCAAUUACGAAAGUAGCUUUACAUCUCCCGAAUCCACGAAAACUAUGACACAAACUGGGAUUAGAUACCCCACUAUGCCUAGCCCUAAACAUCGAUAGCAUACUACACCCACUAUCCGCCCGGGAACUACGAGCAUUAGCUUAAAACCCAAAGGACUUGGCGGUGCUUUAGAUCCCCCUAGAGGAGCCUGUCCUAGAACCGAUAAUCCCCGUUUAACCUCACCUUUUCUUGCCCGUUCCGCUUAUAUACCGCCGUCGUCAGCUUACCCUGUGAAGGUCCCAUAGUAAGCAAAGCCGGUGUACCCCCAUACGUCAGGUCGAGGUGUAGCGCAUGAAAAGGUUAGAGAUGGGCUACAUUUACUAUUUUAGUAAACACGAAUGAUGCAGUGAAACCCCGCAUCCGAAGGAGGAUUUAGCAGUAAGCAUGAAAACAGAGUGUUCUGCUGAAUGCGGCCCUGAAGCGCGCACACACCGCCCGUCACUCUCCCCAAAAUGAAGACAUCAACAGUAACUAAAAACUUUUAGAGCCCUAAGGGGAGGCAAGUCGUAACAUGGUAAGUGUACCGGAAGGUGUACUUGGUAAAUU